UACGUAGGGUGCAAGCGUUAAUCGGAAUUACUGGGCGUAAAGCGUGCGCAGGCGGUCUUGCAAGACAGAUGUGAAAUCCCCGGGCUUAACCUGGGAACUGCAUUUGUGACUGCAAGGCUGGAGUACGGUAGAGGGGGAUGGAAUUCCGCGUGUAGCAGUGAAAUGCGUAGAUAUGCGGAGGAACACCGAUGGCGAAGGCAAUCCCCUGGACCUGUACUGACGCUCAUGCACGAAAGCGUGGGGAGCAAACGGG
rnacentral:rRNA from 1 species